GGAUGUGAGGGCGAUCUGGCUGCUACAUCUGUCACCUCAUUGAUCGCCAGGGUUGAUUCGCCUGAUCUGGCCAGCUAGGCAGGUGUCCCCUUCCUCCCUCAACUAUCCAUGUGCAUCCCUCCUGAAGCUGCAUGCUCCAUGGAAGAGAACGACCACCCCCGAUAGAGGAGGACCAUUCCUUGGUCAAGGGUAUACUAAAACCUCCAAACAAGCUCUCAAGAAUUAUAGCUAGCAAUCACAAAAGAAAAAUUGGAAUAGAUGUUCUUUAUCU
rnacentral:snRNA from 1 species